CUUCUAGAUAUUAACGACAUUUUUGUAAGAAACUAUUGAAAUAUUUAGGCAUUGGUAUUUUUCUUUAAAAUUUUGUUGAAUUCAGUACGUAGUACUAAUCCACUGUUGGAUUUAGCUAUUCCUCUGCUAUUCAUAGACCUCAGCUCAAGAUGGAACUCUUUUUUAUAUUAGAUACGGUUAAAACAUACCCUAUUAUUGAGGAACCGGACUGUCUGUCCGUCUGUUACCAGACUAUAUCUCAUAAACCGCGAUAACUAGGCGGUUGACAUUUUUACAGGUGAUAUAUUCCUGUUGUUUUUGUUACAACAGCGAUAUAAAAAACAGGGCAAAGGUGUACCAAUAAUAGAAUACAGUUUAACAACAAAGAUUAAGUUCCUACUUAGGUUAUUAUGUAAUUCGCGGGAAUAUAGGUAAUUAUGCUCUGAAAAUACUGUUGCUAAAUGCAAUUUACACCAAACUUGUAAGAUAAUGAUGUAAUAGUCAUUGUGACAAAUAAAUUAAUCAAAGAUAUAAACCAAAAAAAUAUGUUUCUUAUCGAGCCGUUCGUAUCGAAGGGCGAUUCGCUUCAAAUGAGAAACAAUUCAGCCGUUAACGUUAUGCCUAAUUAGAUGUAAUUAUAAAAUUAUCUUUAUAAGACUAUUAAAGAGUAUUUUUAUAAUCAAACCUCUUUUUAUAACGCGAAGGACCGGGCAGCAAUCAUCAGACUAGCAGCAAGCAUAGCAGGGCCACUGAGUGAAAAUCCUUGAACGAUUCUCUGUUCUGCCUCUUGGAACCAGCCCGCGCGGUAAGCGUCUUUUUGUUAAAUAAUAUUUUUUUUCAACAAUAAACACGUACAAUCGUAAACAAGAUUAUUGGAUCACAUGACAGCUAUUACAAGUUGAAU